rnacentral:rRNA from 1 species
GGAAUCUUGGACAAUGGGGGCAACCCUGAUCCAGCCAUGCCGCGUGAGCGAUGAAGGCCCUAGGGUUGUAAAGCUCUUUCACCCGUGAAGACAAUGACGGUAGCGGGCGAAGAAGCCCCGGCUAACUCCGUGCCAGCAGCCGCGGUAAUACGGAGGGGGCUAGCGUUGUUCGGAAUUACGGGGCGUAAAGCGCGCGUAGGCGGGUAUUCAAGUCGGGGGUGAAAUCCCGGGGCUCAACCCCGGAACUGCCUCCGAUACUGGAUGCCUGGUGGACGGAAGAGGCGAGUGGAAUGCCGAGUGUAGAGGUGAAAUUCGUAGAUAUUCGGCGGAACACCCGUGGCGAAGGCGGCUCGCUGGUCCGGUCCUGACGCUGAGGCGCGAAAGCGUGGGGAGCAAAC